GAUGAACGCUGGCGGCGUGCCUAAUACAUGCAAGUCGAGCGAACAGAUGAGGAGCUUGCUCCUCUGACGUUAGCGGCGGACGGGUGAGUAACACGUGGAUAACCUACCUAUAAGACUGGGAUAACUUCGGGAAACCGGAGCUAAUACCGGAUAAUAUAUUGAACCGCAUGGUUCAAUAGUGAAAGACGGUUUUGCUGUCACUUAUAGAUGGAUCCGCGCCGCAUUAGCUAGUUGGUAAGGUAACGGCUUACCAAGGCAACGAUGCGUAGCCGAUCUGAGAGGGUGAUCGGCCACACUGGAACUGAGACACGGUCCAGACUCCUACGGGAGGCAGCAGUAGGGAAUCUUCCGCAAUGGGCGAAAGCUUGACGGAGCAACGCCGCGUGAGUGAUGAAGGUCUUCGGAUCGUAAAGCUCUGUUAUUAGGGAAGAACAAAUGUGUAAGUAACCAUGCACGUCUUGACGGUACCUAAUCAGAAAGCCACGGCUAACUACGUG
rnacentral:rRNA from 1 species